rnacentral:rRNA from 1 species
AUUGAACGCUGGCGGCAGGCCUAACACAUGCAAGUCGAACGGUAACAGGAAGAAGCUUGCUUCUUUGCUGACGAGUGGCGGACGGGUGAGUAAUGUCUGGGAAACUGCCUGAUGGAGGGGGAUAACUACUGGAAACGGUAGCUAAUACCGCAUAACGUCGCAAGACCAAAGAGGGGGACCUUCGGGCCUCUUGCCAUCGGAUGUGCCCAGAUGGGAUUAGCUAGUAGGUGGGGUAACGGCUCACCUAGGCGACGAUCCCUAGCUGGUCUGAGAGGAUGACCAGCCACACGGGAACGGAGCCCGGGUCCAGACCCCCACGGGAGGCAGGGGGGGGGAAUAUUGCAAAAGGGGCGCAAGCCUGAGGCAGCCAGGCCGGGGGUAUGAAGAAGGCCUUGGGGUUGUAAAUUAUUUUCAGGGGGGAGGAAGGGAGUAAAGUUAAUACCUUUGCUCAUUGACGUUCCCCGCAGAAGAAGCACCGGCUAACCCCGG